GACGAACGCUGGCGGCGUGCUUAACACAUGCAAGUCGAGCGGAAAGGCCCUGCUUUUGUGGGGUGCUCGAGUGGCGAACGGGUGAGUAACACGUGAGUAACCUGCCCUUGACUUUGGGAUAACUUCGGGAAACUGGGGCUAAUACCGGAUAGGAGCUCCUGCUGCAUGGUGGGGGUUGGAAAGUUUCGGCGGUUGGGGAUGGACUCGCGGCUUAUCAGCUUGUUGGUGGGGUAGUGGCUUACCAAGGCUUUGACGGGUAGCCGGCCUGAGAGGGUGACCGGCAAGAUGAGGACUGAGGUAGGCCCGGGCCCCAGGCGGAGGGAAGCAGGGGGGAAUAGUGCACAAGGGGGGGACGCAGGAGGCAGCAACCCCGGGGGCGGGAUAGCGGCCUGCGGUUGUGAACCAGAUUUCGCCGGGGCCGAACGGGGAGUGACGGUAAUGGGAAAGGAAGCACCGGCUAAAUACGUG
rnacentral:rRNA from 1 species